rnacentral:lncRNA from 1 species
CCCCUCCCCUCAGCCCACCCUCCUUCCCCCCCGCCGCCCAGACCGCGCUGCCCUCGCUCACCUCUGUCUCGCUCCCCGCUCGCUCGGCAGCGGCUGCCGGCAGCUCAUGGCGGAGCGGACGGGAGGCCGCGCUGAGGGGUCGGAGGCCGCGGUGAGGGGCGGAGGAGGCCGCGGUGAGGGGCGGAGCAGGCCGCGGUGAGGGGUCGGAGGCCGCGGUGAGGGGCGGAGGUGGCCCCGGUGAGGGCCCAGGCCGCGGUGAGGGGCGGCAGCGGGCCCUGCACCGGCCCCGACCGCCGCUUCCGCCGCCGCCUCGCCCCGUG